GACGAACGCUGGCGGCGUGCCUAAUACAUGCAAGUUGAGCGAUGAAGAUUGGUGCUUGCACCAAUUUGAAGAGCAGCGAACGGGUGAGUAACGCGUGGGGAAUCUGCCUUUGAGCGGGGGACAACAUUUGGAAACGAAUGCUAAUACCGCAUAACAACUUUAAACAUAAGUUUUAAGUUUGAAAGAUGCAAUUGCAUCACUCAAAGAUGAUCCCGCGUUGUAUUAGCUAGUUGGUGAGGUAAAGGCUCACCAAGGCGAUGAUACAUAGCCGACCUGAGAGGGUGAUCGGCCACAAUGGGACUGAGACACGGCCCAAACUCCUACGGGAGGCAGCAGUAGGGAAUCUUCGGCAAUGGACGAAAGUCUGACCGAGCAACGCCGCGGGAGUGAAGAAGGUUUUCGGAUCGUAAAACUCUGUUGGUAGAGAAGAACGUUGGUGAGAGUGGAAAGCUCAUCAAGUGACGGUAACUACCCAGAAAGGGACGGCUAACUACGUG
rnacentral:rRNA from 1 species